rnacentral:rRNA from 2 species
AUGAGGAAAAGAAACCAACAGCGAUUGCCUCAGUAACGGCGAGUGAAGCGGCAAAAGCUCAAAUUUGAAAUCCCCCGGGAAUUGUAAUUUGAAGAGAUUUGGGUCCGGCCGGCGGGGGUUAAGUCCACUGGAAAGUGGCGCCACAGAGGGUGACAGCCCCGUGAACCCCUUUAAAGCCCUCAUCCCAGAUCUCCAAGAGUCGAGUUGUUUGGGAAUGCAGCUCUAAGUGGGUGGUAAAUUCCAUCUAAAGCUAAAUACCGGCGAGAGACCGAUAGCGAACAAGUACAGUGAUGGAAAGAUGAAAAGCACUUUGAAAAGAGAGUGAAAAAGUACGUGAAAUUGUUGAAAGGGAAGGGCUUGCAAGCAGACACUUAACUGGGCCAGCAUCGGGGCGGCGGGAAACAAAACCACCGGGGAAUGUACCUUUCGAGGAUUAUAACCCCGGUCUUUAUUUCCUUGUUGCCCCGAGGCCUGCAAUCUAAGGAUGCUGGCGUAAUGGUUGCAAGUCGCCCGUCUUGAAUA